AGCUAGACGGCGGAUUGUGAUAAAGGUGGUGAACUACCUUAAGGUUGGGGAUAGCCAUUAGAAAUAGUGGGUAAUACCGAAUAUGGUUAUCGGGCUUUGGCCUGGUAAAGAAAGGGGCUUCGGCCCCGCCUUGGGAUGGGCCCGCGUCCCAUUAGCUUGUUGGUGAGGUAAGAGCCCACCGAGGCGAUGAUGGGUAGCCGGCCUGAGAGGGUGAACGGCCACACUGGGACUGAGAUACGGCCCAGACUCCUACGGGAGGCAGCAGCUAAGAAUAUUCCGCAAUGGACGAAAGUCUGACGGAGCGACGCCGCGUGGAUGACGAAGGCCGAAAGGUUGUAAAAUCCUUUUGUUACUGAAGAAUAAGCGGGGGAGGGAAUGCCCCCGUGAUGACGUUAGGUAACGAAUAAGCCCCGGCUAAUUACUUUCCCACCACCCGCGGUAACCCUUUUAGGGCAACCUUUUUUCCGAAAUUAUUGGGCUU
rnacentral:rRNA from 1 species